rnacentral:rRNA from 1 species
GAGGGUUCGGCCCUCGGCUGACGGCUCAGUAACACGUAAUAAUCUGCCCUUCGGUGGAGGAUACCCUCGGGAAACUGAGAAUAAUACUCCAUAGAUCGAGGAUGCUGGAAUGCUUCUCGAUCGAAAGCUUCGGCGCCUAAGGAUGAGUCUGCGGACUAUCAGGUUGUAGUCAGGGUAACGACUUGACUACCUACGACGGAUACGGGUAGUGAGAGCUUUAGCCCGGAGAUGAUAUCUGAGACACGAUAUCAGGCCCUACGGGGCGCACAGGCGCGAAAACUUCGCACUGUGCGAAAGCACGACGAGGGAAUCCCAAGUGCUGGCUCGUAAGAGUCAGCUGUUUCUCUGUCUAAAAAACAGAGAGAGUAAGGGCUGGGUAAGACGGGUGCCAGCCGCCGCGGUAAUACCUGCAGCCCAAGUGGUGGCCGCUAUUAUUGGGCCUAAAACGUCCGUAGCCGGUUCUAUAAAUGCCUGGGUAAAUCGUACGGCUUACGUACGAAUUCCGGGUAGACUGUUCAACUUGGGACCGGGAGAGGCUAGAGGUACUCCUGGGGUAAGGUGAAAUUCUGUAAUCCUAGGGGACCACCAGUGGCGAAGGCGUCUAGCUAGAAACGGGUCUGACGGUGAGGACGAAGCCCUGGGGCGCAAACGGGAUUAAUACCCCGGUAGUCCAGGGUGUAAACGCUGCUCGCUUGAUGUUAGUCGGGCUCCGAGCCCAACUAUGUCGGAGAGAAGUUGUUAAGCGAGCUGCCUGGGAAGUACGGUCGCAAGACUGAAACUUAAAGGAAUUGGCGGGGGAGCACCGCAACGGGUGGAGCGUGCGGUUUAAUUGGAUUCAACGCCGGAAAACUCACCGGGGGCGACGGUUAUAUGAAGGCCAGGCUGAUGACCUUGCCUGAUUUUCCGAAGGUGGUGCAUGGCCGGUCGUCAGUUCGUACCGUGAGGCGUUCUGUUAAGUCAGACAACGGAACGAGACCCUCAUCUUCUAGUUGCAACUGGUAAGUUCGCUUACUAGCACACUAAGAAACCGCUGGCCGAUCAGUCAGAGGAAGGCGAGGGCAAAGGUAGGUCAGUAUGCCCUGAAUGCCCCCGGGCUAC